GCUUGUUUCUCAGUGGGCCGCGCCGGCUGGCUCAUCGGAUUCUCUGGGUGCAGUCCCAUCCCUGGCCCGCAGUCCGCACAAUCGAUAACAACAAAGCUACACGUCUGUAGCAAAACAGACUCACACAACACUACUCAAAAUGAACCACAUAAUCGAUAACAAAUAUUCGGAACUGCUAACUCAUGAACAAAAUAAACAGCUGUAACAACUAUGAAAAUGUAAACAACAAAGAUCGGGCCCCGGUUCCGGACCCAGCGUACCCGCCCUACCAUGAGACGAUCGCCUACACUCGUCUCCCUCAUUUUGGCCACUAAAUGGCCUAUAUUAGCCCGUGUCGGCCAUCAUGCCCACUCUCCCCAACAAUAUUACUUUAGCCGGACAUGCUUUCUUUCAAUAUCUAUCUAGAAUCUCAUGCAAGUGGAGAUUUCGUUAACUUCACAGGUGCGUAUAAUGGUUUGUGUAAUCUUAUAAUUAUUGGCAUUAAUAUUUCUUUUAUUUCUUUCUAAUUUGCACGAGGAUUCUAUUCAGAUAAAUUAGUAUUCAUGCACGGAACAUUUCUUCUCCGGCACUAAAUGGAACAGGCGACGAAAUACUACAAAGAUAUUGCUAGUCGCCGCAAAAGAAACACGCAAGGAGGCAAUUUAGAGGCAAUCGUUGCGCCGAUUUAGGAACAAUGGCCCACUCAAAUACUUAAAACUGGGUAUGUCACGAUAAUCAGUCGUGCAACAGGUAGGUGAUAUAGAUCUGUAUUAAAUCGCUUAAUUCUACCUUACCCUACCUAAAGAGCUCUCUGGGGGUGGUAAGGGGCGAUAUAAAUGGGUAAAUUCCAAUUAGGCGCAGAUGCAUCACCUUUGGAGUUUCCCUCACCGUUCGCACUCUAAAGUGAAGCUCGGCGUAAGUGCCUAUGGAGUACAAUCAGGAGUCUUCGUCUGACUCUGCCAAGGAGUCGAACGAAGAGGGGCAAAAUGGAACAGACUCACUCGGAGGAUGUGGACGUGGUCUCGCCUGUGGCCGCUUGUUUUGUUUGUUAAGUUUUUUUGUUACUACGCGCCGGCUGAACUUACCGGAUGGAAAAAUUCUAAUCUUUUUGAGCCGACGGCAAAACUAGAAUUUUAUGCUCACUUCGAACUGGCACGCCCGCCGUUGACCGCUGAUCAAAUCGAACUCCCGGCUGUACAUUUGGGCAGCAACAUCGGGGCCGAAUUUCGGCACACGCAUACAUUUGCGAGGCGGGCACCGUUGCUGCCCAUCUGCACAGCUGCAUUUUUUGGGUCAACGGCCCAAAUGAAGGCCAAGGGCAUAUCCAAGGGCAUGCGAUCCACUCUCCUUAUAGUCUGUUUAAGAGCGAAUCGGGCGGCCAAUAGCAAUCGUCGCUUUUGGCGCCGUGGAUCGCAAGCCUGGCGUUGCCACCCUUCAAUAAAUUGGGCUCCACUGUGGGCCCAGCUUCACCCCCCAUACACUGACCAUAUGACAAAAAGAUAUCGGCGUGGCCGAUAAUAUCGCACGCAACCAACACAGCAAACCCUCGAUGCUGGCGAUAACGUCAAAUGCAACAUCACCACGCAGAUUAUUGCAUCGACAUGAACGACCGUUACAAGAAAUCUGCGUGCGCAUUUCCUAGAUUGACCCAGCCGGCUAAUAAGGAUGCCGUAGGCCACACCCACGACAAGUAAUCUAUACUUUCGGCGCUGACCCAAAAAAAAAGGGAACGACGGGCGCUGCCGCGCCAAUGCCUGGCAAGGAGGUGAGCAAGUUACGAUUAUGUUCGUAUAUCUUUAGCAUGGAAAACGCCUAGCACGCGUCCCUGGAGAUCUUCUAACUCGUAGGCGUUGGUACCCACGGCUCGGACGAAGCGGUUCUUCAAGGAUUGAAGGCUUUGCCAAAACUGCUCAGUGCGAAGUUGCGCCUCCACACUUCCUGUCCCGGUUCCAGGUGGAGUUGGCGCGCGCGGUGGUCGUAUCGUUGGCGACUUCGCUCGUACGCGGUAUGCAGGUGUUCCUUGACUUGGCUUCGGAUUACAGCCAGUCUGUCCUUCGCGUCAAGGUCAGAAAUACUGUGAUCGGCCAAUGAUCUCAGCUUCCUGGCCAGUUUAUA